rnacentral:rRNA from 1 species
CCUACGGGAGGCAGCAGUGGGGAAUAUUGCACAAUGGGGGAAACCCUGAUGCAGCGACGCCGCGUGAGUGAAGAAGUAUUUCGGUACGUAAAGCUCUAUCAGCAGGGAAGAAAAUGACGGUACCUGACUAAGAAGCCCCGGCUAACUACGUGCCAGCAGCCGCGGUAAUACGUAGGGGGCAAGCGUUAUCCGGAUUUACUGGGGUUAAAGGGAGCGUAGACGGCAGCGCAAGUCUGGAGUGAAAUCCCAUGGCUUAACCAUGGAACUGCUUUGGAAACUGUGCAGCUAGAGUGCAGGAGAGGUAAGCGGAAUUCCUAGUGUAGCGGUGAAAUGCGUAGAUAUUAGGAGGAACACCAGUGGCGAAGGCGGCUUACUGGACUGUAACUGACGUUGAGGCUCGAAAGCGUGGGGAGCAAACAGGAUUAGAUACCCGAGUAGUC